CAGUGUCGAGUCGAGCGGAUGAGGGGUGCUUGCACUCUGAUUUAGCGGCGGACGGGUGAGUAAUGCCUAGGAAUCUGCCUGGUAGUGGGGGAUAACGUUCCGAAAGGAACGCUAAUACCGCAUACGUCCUACGGGAGAAAGCGGGGGAUCUUCGGACCUCGCGCUAUCAGAUGAGCCUAGGUCGGAUUAGCUAGUUGGUGAGGUAAUGGCUCACCAAGGCGACGAUCCGUAACUGGUCUGAGAGGAUGAUCAGUCACACUGGAACUGAGACACGGUCCAGACUCCUACGGGAGGCAGCAGUGGGGAAUAUUGGACAAUGGGCGAAAGCCUGAUCCAGCCAUGCCGCGUGUGUGAAGAAGGUCUUCGGAUUGUAAAGCACUUUAAGUUGGGAGGAAGGGUAUUCACCUAAUACGUGAGUAUUUUGACGUUACCGACAGAAUAAGCACCGGCUAACUUCGUGCCAGCAGCCGCGGUAAUACGAAGGGUGCAAGCGUUAAUCGGAAUUACUGGGCGUAAAGCGCGCGUAGGUGGUUCGUUAAGUUGGAUGUGAAAGCCCCGGGCUCAACCUGGGAACUGCAUCCAAAACUGGCGAGCUAGAGUACGGUAGAGGGUGGUGGAAUUUCCUGUGUAGCGGUGAAAUGCGUAGAUAUAGGAAGGGAACACCAGUGGCGAAGGCGACCACCUGGACUGA
rnacentral:rRNA from 1 species